AUUGAACGCUGGCGGCAUGCCUUACACAUGCAAGUCGAACGGUAACAGGUCUUCGGACGCUGACGAGUGGCGAACGGGUGAGUAAUACAUCGGAACGUGCCCAGACGUGGGGGAUAACGAGGCGAAAGCUUUGCUAAUACCGCAUACGAUCUAAGGAUGAAAGCAGGGGACCGCAAGGCCUUGCGCGUUUGGAGCGGCCGAUGGCAGAUUAGGUAGUUGGUGGGAUAAAAGCUUACCAAGCCGACGAUCUGUAGCUGGUCUGAGAGGACGACCAGCCACACUGGGACUGAGACACGGCCCAGACUCCUACGGGAGGCAGCAGUGGGGAAUUUUGGACAAUGGGCGAAAGCCUGAUCCAGCAAUGCCGCGUGCAGGAUGAAGGCCUUCGGGUUGUAAACUGCUUUUGUACGGAACGAAAAGGCUCUGGCUAAUACCUGGGGCACAUGACGGUACCGUAAGAAUAAGCACCGGCUAACUACGUG
rnacentral:rRNA from 1 species